AGAGCACAGGGCGGAUGCCUUGGCACUAAGAGCCGAUGAAAGACGCGAUAAGCUGCGAAAAGCUGCGGUGAGGAGCAAAUAUCCCGUGACCCGCAGAUGUCUGAAUGGGGAAACCCGGCGGAGCAAACCUCCGUCACCGUAUACUGAAUCCAUAGGUAUGCGGAGGGAACCCGGUGAACUGAAACAUCUAAGUAGCCGGAGGAAGAGAAAGAAAAUAUAUCGAUUCUGUGAGUAGCGGCGAGCGAAAACGGAAGAGCCCAAACCAGUGUGCGUGCAUGCUGGGGUUCGGACUGCAGACGUUACGAACAAGGUUAGCAGAACGGUCCUGGAAAGACCGGCCAGAGAGGGUGAAAGCCCCGUAAGCGAAAACCGAGUGAGGACAGCAGUAUCCAGAGUACCACGAGACACGAGAAACCUUGUGGGAAGAAGCGGGGACCACCCCGUAAGGCUAAAUACUCCUUAGUGACCGAUAGCGCAUAGUACUGUGAAGGAAAGGUGAAAAGGACCCCGGGAGGGGAGUGAAAGAGAACCUGAAACCCUGUGUUUACAAGCUGUGGAAGUACCUUAGGGGUACAACCGCGUACUUUUUGUAGAACGGUCCGGCGAGUUGCGGGUGCUGGCAAGGUUAAGUCCUUAAGGGACGGAGCCGAAGGGAAACCAAGUGUCAAUAGCGCGUGAAGUCAGCAUCUGCAGACCCGAAACCGGGUGAUCUAUCCAUGUCCAGGUUGAAGUUGUCGUAAAAGACAAUGGAGGACCGAACGCACAUCCGUUGAAAAGGGUGGCGAUGAGGUGUGGAUAGGGGAGAAAUUCCAAUCGAACCCGGAGAUAGCUGGUUCUCCUCGAAAUAGCUUUAGGGCUAGCCUCGUAUUAAUGCCAUGGAGGUAGAGCACUGAAUUUCCUAGGGGGCGUCAAAGUCUACCGAAGAAUAUCAAACUCCGAAUGCCAUAGGUAUGAUGUACGGGAGUCAGACUGCACGAGAUAAGUUGGGCAGUCAAAAGGGAAAGAGCCCAGACCUACAGCUAAGGUCCCAAAGUACGUGUUAAGUGGAAAAGGAUGUGGGAUUUCAAAGACAACUAGGAUGUUGGCUUAGAAGCAGCCAUACAUUCAAAGAGUGCGUAAUAGCUCACUAGUCGAGAGGUCCUGCGCCGAAAAUGUCCGGGGCUGAAACACGACACCGAAGCUUAGGAAUACAAGUAAUUGUAUUGGUAGAGGAGCAAUCUUACCGGGACGAAGCAGUAUUGUAAGGUAUUGUGGACUGGUAAGAAGAGAGAAUGCCGGAAUGAGUAGCGAGAUGGAGGUGGGAAUCCUCCAGGCCGAAUAUCUAAGGUUUCCAGGGUAAAGCUGAUCUGCCCUGGGUAAGUCGGGGCCUAAGGCGAGGUCGAAAGACGUAGCCGAUGGACAACAGGUUGAGAUUCCUGUACUAUCAUAUGACAGAACUGUGGGGACACAGAAGGAAAGCCUGAGCCGGGAAAGGGAAAACCGGUGCAAGCGGAGUAGGAGUCAGAUUGGAAAAACCGUCUGGCAAUCUGAAGUCGUGAUGCGUACCGAACUAGAGUAGGGAAGCAGGCGANNNNNNNNNNAGGAAAGCCUGAGCCGGGAAAGGGAAAACCGGUGCAAGCGGAGUAGGAGUCAGACUGGAAAAACCGUCUGGCAAUCUGAAGCCGUGAUGCGUACCGAACUAGAGUAGGGAAGCAGGCGGGCCGGCUGUCGAGAAAAGCCGCUAUUGUUCAUAUGAUACCCGUACCGUAAACCGACACAGGUGGAUGAGGAGAGAAUCCUAAGGCCGGCGGGAGAAGCAUUGUUAAGGAACUCGGCAAAAUGACCCCGUAACUUCGGGAGAAGGGGUGCCUCUGAAAGGAGGCCGCAGAGAAUAGGCUCAAGCAACUGUUUAGCAAAAACACAGGUCUAUGCGAAACCGAAAGGUGAGGUAUAUGGGCUGACGCCUGCCCGGUGCUGGAAGGUUAAGAGGAGGAGUCAGGCAACGAAGCUCCGAAUUUAAGCCCCAGUAAACGGCGGCCGUAACUAUAACGGUCCUAAGGUAGCGAAAUUCCUUGUCGGGUAAGUUCCGACCCGCACGAAAGGCGUAAUGAUUUGAGCGCUGUCUCGACAAUGCACCCGGUGAAAUUGAAGUACCAGUGAAGAUGCUGGUUACCUGCGCCAGGACGGAAAGACCCCAUGGAGCUUUACUCCAGCUUGAUACUGGGAUUCGAUGCUGUAUGUACAGGAUAGGUGGGAGACUGAGAAGUGAUUACGCCAGUAAUCAUGGAGUCAAUGUUGGGAUACCACCCUUGCAGCAUUGGAUUUCUAACCUGCGCCCGUGACCCGGGCGGGGGACAAUGUCUGGCGGGGAGUUUGACUGGGGCGGUCGCCUCCGAAAGGGUAUCGGAGGCGCUCAAAGGUUCCCUCAGGAUGGUUGGAAACCAUCCGAAGAGUGCAAAGGCAUAAGGGAGCUUGACUGUGACACCGACGGGUGGAGCAGGUACGAAAGUAGGACUUAGUGAUCCGGUGGUAUUAAGUGGGAAUGCCAUCGCUCAACGGAUAAAAGCUACCCUGGGGAUAACAGGCUUAUCACUCCCAAGAGUUCACAUCGACGGAGUGGUUUGGCACCUCGAUGUCGGCUCAUCGCAUCCUGGGGCUGUAGCAGGUCCCAAGGGUUGGGCUGUUCGCCCAUUAAAGCGGUACGCGAGCUGGGUUCAGAACGUCGUGAGACAGUUCGGUCCCUAUCCGGCGCAGGCGGAGGAUAUUUGAGAGGAGCUGUCCUUAGUACGAGAGGACCGGGAUGGACGGACCGCUGGUGUAUCUGUUGACGACCAACGUCAUGGCAGAGUAGCCAAGUCCGGCAGGGAUAAACGCUGAAGGCAUCUAAGCGUGAAGCCCCCCUCAAGAUGAGAUAUCCCAAUAAGUAAGACCCCUUAGA
rnacentral:rRNA from 1 species